AGAUUGUGUGAUGGUAUUUAAGAUUGUGUGAUGCUUGUGGUUGUUGAAUGUGACUGAAUUCUGACUUGAGGUCAACAUAUAAUAAUAAUCUACAAGUCUUGUAACAGAAAAUAUGUUUACCACUAUGCUUACUGAAAUUAAUUCAUGAAAUGACCGAUUAAGAUUCCAAUUUUUUCUUGUAACAGAGCAAUCAUAUAGUCGCAC
rnacentral:lncRNA from 1 species